UACAGAGGGGGCGAGCGUUGUUCGGAAUUACUGGGCGUAAAGGGCGCGUAGGCGGCCAACUAAGUCAGACGUGAAAUCCCUCGGCUCAACCCCGGAACUGCCUCCAAAACUGCUGGUCUGGAGGUCGAGAGAGGUGAGUGGAAUUCCGAGUGUAGAGGUGAAAUUCGUAGAUAUUCGGAGGAACACCAGUGGCGAAGGCGGCUCACUGGCUCGAUACUGACGCUGAGGUGCGAAAGCGUGGGGAGCAAACAGG
rnacentral:rRNA from 1 species